UUUGUUUUUGUUUUUUGUUUUUUUUUUUUUUUGUUUGUUUCCUUCAUACUCUUAUCCUAUAGCCUUUCCAAAUGUCUUGAUCCAUUGUCCAUGUGUCUCCCAUUUAUGAUGCACCGUCUCUAACAUCCAAUAGAAUACCUCCAUGUAUUUUCUACCGAUCAUAUCCAUGCUUCUCGGUUCCUCUCCACCGCCUUAUCUCUCUUAUCGACUACCCCAUCCAUCGCAAAACGGUUUCUCCUUCAAGUUCUGGGACUGAUGUCCAUGCGUUCAACACCGCUUUUUUCAUUGAUUGGGGGAUAAUUUUUUGGAGUCGGCCACAUUUACCCCGUCCAUCAUCAUUCAUCUCUCUCGUUUUAAACGCUACUUCUCAUCGCUUUAUCAAUCGUGUUCCAACAGUAAUCUUCCACACCUUUUGUUUUUCGUUUCUAUUCCAUCUUUCUCUGAGGAGGGUUCGAGAUGGAGCGAUCGCGUGUCACAGUGGCCAUCAUCGCCGCCCUAGGCGAAAACCAGCUCAGCACACCGAAGAACAAAGAACACCCCAAGCAGCCACAGAGAGCCAAGACCGCCACCAGUGUUUCAUCUGCGACAUCAUCUUCCCAUUGAUCCGCAACUAUGGCCAGAAACUGCUGUCAUGGAUCUCAAAUCACUACUUGAGAUUGAAGAACAACAAGAUAAGGAACAAGAUGAAGCACAAGAACACCGUAGAAAAUGUGAAAUUGAAGAAAGAAAUGCCCUAAAAGCAUAUCUAAAAGCCCAAAGGGCAUUAGCUGAAGCCAAUACUAAAUGUUCCUAUCUUUACCAUAAACGUGAAUUAUUUUCAGCUAAUCUUCGGUCUCAUGUCAUGGAAGACUCAACCAUGUUCUGAUCAAACUUAAACAUGCCAGUGCCACGUCAGCAUACUAGACCAAAGUUGAUUACUACCGAAUCAACACGAAGGUUACAUAAACCACCUUUGUUUUGCUUCUACCAUUUUUCCUGAAUCCUGUCAUUGAUUUUAAAAUUUUAUUAGCAUGGUGAUUAUUAGAUAUGGGGUUUCAAUGGUAAAUUUUAAAAGAAUUACAUUGGGAACGAUUUGAAUUUCAUAUCUUGAAAUGAAUCAUCUAUUGAUUCAAAUGACCAUAGAUUGAAGCAUAAAUUAUUGAUGUUCAUAUGACACCAUCUAAGAUUGUGAAAAUUUUCCUUAAACUAAAGUGAGAUUGUGAAAAUUUUCCUUAAAUUAAAGUGAUAGAAUGUUUUCCAUGGAUACAUGUUAUGGUACUAGCUAAUUGAAUUUCUUUUCUCUAUGAUGGAGUAUAAGGUGCAUUCAUAUAACAGAAAUGGUUUAUGCGUGGUGGGCUUAAUGGAUGAUCACUAUCCGGUUAGGAGCGCCUUCUCUGUGUUGAACUAAGUUAUAGAUGAGUACGAAAAGAAGCAUGGAAAUUCAUGGCAGAACAUACAAAGAUAUCACUGCUCAAUGGCCAUAUCUUAAUGAUGCUUUAACCAGGUUUCAUGUUUGAGGAUCCUGCUCAGGUAGACAAGUUGUUGAAGACGAAUUGGAUGAAACCAAAAUCAUCCUUCAUAAAACCAUUUAUAGUAUCCUUGAAAGAUGCAAAAAGCUAGAUAGCUUAGGUGAGAAGAGUUCUGAUCUCAAUGCAGCAUCACAGGUUCAUCUUUAAACUUUUCUCAUCAAUAUGCAUGAUUUUAAAGAGGGAAAAUUUGUAAAAGGUUAGACUUGAUGGGAAAGUCUCAUUUUCUUGACUUUUCUGUGUUAAUUCGUUCCUUUUGUAUUAACUCUUGUCUCCUCUUAAUUCUAUUAAGUUAAAAAGAAUCAACCGAUACAAUGUUGGCUACAGGCUAGUGAGUGGAUUUAAAAUUUUCCCAUUCCCACAUUUGUAUAUUCACAAAUUACAUGUCUAGAAACAUGUUUUAGGGUUUAGGGUUUUCUAUACAAUUUGUUCAAUUCUUAUACAUGCUUCAAGAAAACAAGAUGACAACCAACAAAUAAUCUACACCAUUGACUUAUAUCCGUGGGUUUAAGCCACAUCAAAGGUAUGUCAACCACAUAUUACUGAGUUCUGGUGCUUAUCUAUAAUAUUUCACUUUUUUCCCUCCAUUAAAAAAUUAUCAAUGUGUGUUUUUGUUUUGACAAACAGAUGCGACCAACAAUUACACAAUUCCUACACUCAAAUAUGAAACAAUUUAGUAAUUUGUGACAUUGAAUUCUGCAAACAUGUCCUGAAUGCAAAGUUUUUAGCAUCCAAUUCAGGGUAGAAAAGAAACUACCGUUGAUUCCUAAGUUGUCGGAACCGGAACUAGAACCGGUUACAUCGGUUCCUAAAACUUUGGAACCGUAAUGCUGAGUUGAUUUGGGAUGGUGUUUGAAGUACAAACAUGAUUGUUAUUUGUUGCAUUUUUCAUAUUUAAAUAGCUUGGUCCUUUACAAUGUAACUUAAUAAAAUCUUCCUGUAUUUUUUCAA